rnacentral:rRNA from 1 species
UACGUAGGGUGCGAGCGUUGUCCGGAAUUAUUGGGCGUAAAGAGCUCGUAGGCGGUGUGUCGCGUCGGCCGUGAAAACCUGCAGCUUAACUGUGGGCUUGCGGUCGAUACGGGCAUCACUGGAGUUCGGCAGGGGAGACUGGAAUUCCUGGUGUAGCGGUGAAAUGCGCAGAUAUCAGGAGGAACACCGGUGGCGAAGGCGGGAUCCUGGGCCAGUACUGACGCUGAGGAGCGAAAGCGUGGGGAGCAAACAGG